rnacentral:rRNA from 1 species
GUGGGGAAUAUUGGGCAAUGGGCGAAAGCCUGACCCAGCAACGCCGCGUGAAGGAAGAAGGUCUUCGGAUCGUAAACUUCUAUCCUUGGUGAAGAUAAUGACGGUAGCCGAGAAGGAAGCCCCGGCUAACUACGUGCCAGCAGCCGCGGUAAUACGUAGGGGGCAAGCGUUGUCCGGAAUGAUUGGGCGUAAAGGGCGCGUAGGCGGCCUGGUAAGUCUGGAGUGAAAGUCCUGCUUUUGAGGUGGGAAUUGCUUUGGAUACUGUCGGGCUUGAGUGCAGGAGAGGUAAGUGGAAUUCCCGGUGUAGCGGUGAAAUGCGUAGAGAUCGGGAGGAACACCAGUGGCGAAGGCGACUUACUGGACUGUAACUGACGCUGAGGCGCGAAAGUGUGGGGAGCAAACAGGAUUAGAAACCCGGGUAGUCC